GAUGAACGCUGGCGGCGUGCCUAAUACAUGCAAGUCGAGCGAACAGACGAGGAGCUUGCUCCUCUGACGAGAGCGGAAGACGGGAGUGUAACACGAGUAUACCCUCCCUGUAAUACGGGUAUAACUUCGGGAAACCGGAUAUAAUCGGGGAUAAUAUAUUGCACCACAGGGGUCAAUAGUGAGAGACGGUGUUUGUGGAUCUUAUAGCUGGAUCCGGGCGGUAUUAGGUGGUUGGUACGGUAAAGGCUUACUAAGGGAACUAGGCGUAGCCGACCGGUGAGGGUGGUAGGCCGCACUGGAACUGAGCCACGGUCCAGAGUCCUACGGGAGGCAGCAGUAGGGAAUCGUCCGCAACGGGCGAGAGCCUGACGGAGCAAGGCCGCGUGAGUGAUGAAGGUCUUCGGAUCGUAAAGCUCUGUUAUGAGUGAAGAACAGAUGUGUAAGUAACUAUGGACGUCUUGACGGUACCUAAUCAGAAAGCAACGGCUAACUACGUG
rnacentral:rRNA from 1 species